rnacentral:rRNA from 1 species
CGAGCACGCGCGUGUGGCAUAUCAAUAAGCGGAGGAAAAGAAACUAACAAGGAUUCCCUUAGUAACGGCGAGUGAAGCGGGAAGAGCUCAAAUUUGAAAUCUUCAAGGUUCUACCUUGACGAAUUGUAGUUUAUAGAAGUGUUUUCUGUUAGUGGGGUGGCAAAAGUUCUUUGGAAUAGGACAUCAUAGAGGGUGAGAAUCCCGUAUUUGGUCAUUCCUCCUAGCGUUGUGAUACACUUUCAACGAGUCGGAUUGUUUGGGAAUGCAGUCCAAAAUGGGUGGUAAAUUUCGUCUAAAGCUAAAUAUUGGCGAGAGACCGACAGCGAACAAGUACCGUGAGGGAAAGAUGAAAAGAACUUUGAAAAGAGAGUUAAACAGUACGUGAAAUUGUCAAAAGGGAAGCGUUUGACACCAGUGUUGUUUUUCCGAAAAUCAAUUACGAAUGUUUUGUUUUUGAGGAGUUAUGACUUCAUCGGCUUGCUUCUUCUCUUUACGAAACUUUCUUAAUGCACUUUUCGGUUAACAAGUCAACAUCAAUUUCUUUUGUUGUAAAAGGGUACUGAGGAAGGUGGCUUUCUUUUCGGAGAAAGUGUUUAUAGCCUUGUACCUCUGCAAUCGGAGAGAUUGAGGUCUGCAGCGUAGAUCCUUCGGGGUUAGAUACAUUUGUGCUAAGUUAUAGCUUUUCAUAGACAACUUGUUGACUAUGUUAAGUCUUGUAGCUUACUCGCUUAUGCUAUUUUACCUACGCUUAGGAUGUUGAUGUGAUACUGCGAGCA